UACGUAGGGCGCAAGCGUUGUCCGGAAUCAUUGGGCGUAAAGAGCUCGUAGGUGGUCUGUUACGUCUGCUGUGAAAUCCCGAGGCUCAACCUCGGGUCUGCAGUCGAUACGAGCAAACUAGAGUGUUGCAGGGGAGACUGGAAUUCCUGGUGUAGCGGUGAAAUGCGCAGAUAUCAGGAGGAACACCGGUGGCGAAGGCGGGUCUCUGGGCAACAACUGACGCUGAGGAGCGAAAGCGUGGGGAGCGAACAGG
rnacentral:rRNA from 1 species